CUGGAAAGCAAUAAUGAGGUCUGAAGAGCAUACACUGUUCUAUAAAGCCACUGUGAACCUGCAAAAUUGAGCAUAAAACAGUAAGUGGUGGAUCAUAAUCAGCUCUGCGCUCUAUAUGCUAGCCAAGCAAUACUAAAUUAAUAACCUAACGACCAGGAUUGUGUCAUACUUGAGUUGACACUUGAAUAGGAUAGAAUUUAAAUAUGGAACAGGACACCUAAAUAUAUACCCUGUAUGUUAUAGAUAUAUAUAGCUCUGUAUGGUACAG